AGGUUCGAAUCCCACCGUGGCCGGGCAUAUUUUUCAAGCUCGCCCGGUGUGGAUAUCCACUCAGAGUAACAUCGCAAACAUAUUAUUCACCUGAGUACACAACACCAGCACAGAAAAUUCAUAUUACUAGAACACAUUGGUAUUGAAGGAACUAGAUACUGUUCCGAAAUAUCACUUACUCGAACCGUCCUGACCGCGUAGCUCAGUUGGAAGAGCAUUGGGCUAGUAUUCCAAAGGUCGUAGGUUCGAAUCCCACCGUGGCCGGGCAUAUUUUUCAAGCUCGCCCGGUGUGGAUAUGCACUCAGAGUAACAUCGCAAACAUAUUAUUCACAACA